rnacentral:snoRNA from 1 species
UUGGGUGUGACGAUAAUAAUAAAAUUUCUUGUACUAAAAGCAAAAGCAUGAUAAAUUGUAAUCACCCAUAGAAUAUGAGCACU